UGGCGGCAUGCUUAACACAUGACAAGUACGAACGCGAAAGUCCUUCGGGGCGAGUAGAGUGGCGGACGGGUGAGUAACGCGUGGGAAUCUACCCUAGAGCGGGGGACAACCCGGGGAAACCCGGGCUAAUACCGCAUACGUCCUACGGGAGAAAGAGGGCCUCUGCUUGCACGCUCUCACUCCAGGAUGAGCCCACGUCCGAUUAGCUAGUUGGUAGGGUAAAGGCCUACCAAGGCCACGAUCGGUAGCUGGUCUGAGAGGAUGAUCAGCCACACUGGGACUGAGACACGGCCCAGACUCCUACGGGAGGCAGCAGUGGGGAAUAUUGGACAAUGGGCGCAAGCCUGAUCCAGCAAUGCCGCGUGUGUGAAGAAGGCCUGCGGGUUGUAAAGCACUUUCAGUGGGGAAGAACAGAUUCGGGUCAAUACCCCGGAGCCCUGACGUUACCCACAGAAGAAGCACCGGCUAACUCCGUG
rnacentral:rRNA from 1 species